rnacentral:misc_RNA from 1 species
GAGAGAGAGAAAGAGAGAGAGAGUUCUGGGGCUGGGGUAACAAAUAGGCGAACCAGUAUAUCUGAUACUAGUGGAAGUGACAUAACUACUGCCUAAAGGAGGAGACAAUUUUCAUGGAAGGGGAGCCUCAAGGCUUUUUCAGCAUUAAUAAUCUUGAAUAUGUUAGCCACCUUGAGGAAGUGCUUAUGGCCCUAUGCAACUCUACCCAACCAAUGUUAUUAAGACGAGAGGCGAGACGAGAGCCUUUU